GUCCACGCCUAACGAUGUCAACUGGUUGUUGGAGGGUUCUUCUCAGUAACGAAGCUAACGCGUGAAGUUGACCGCCUGGGAGUACGGCCGCAAGGUUGAACUCAAGGAAUUGACGGGACCCGCACAAGCGGUGGAUGAUGUGGUUUAAUUCGAUGCAACGCGAAACCUUACCUACCCUUGACAUGUCUGGAAUUCCGAAGAGAUUUGGAAGUGCUCGAAAGAGAGCCAGAACACAGGUGCUGCAUGGCCGUCGU
rnacentral:rRNA from 1 species